CUGGUCUACAAAGUGAGAAAUCAGCAGUUCAGUUCACAGGAAUCAGCAGCAGAAGCUCGACCCACUCGCAGACACGAUACAGAUAUAACAGCAGUCCAGUUCCUUAGAGUCGGAAUAGCAAACAUGAAUCAGCGGCAGAAGCAUGAUCCAGCAGAAACAGCCAGGCCUCAGUUGAGUCAGCACAAGUCAGCCGAAGGGACCAGGACCACUAGGGAUGCCAGGAGAAGUUCUUUGCUGUGCCUCUCUCAAAGAAGCAGAGAUUAGUGAAGAUUCAAGACCAAGAAGAGUUACAAAGUUACUUAUGCAAGCCAGCCCCUAUCAAUGUCCAUUGGGUCCUAUUUAUAUUCCCUCAAAACAUCGUGUGCCCUCUACAGGUCUUGCCUCACCACCUGUCUUUCCUCAGUCCAUGAGUGUUGCCUUAGCAAAACUCCACGUGCGUCUUUAUCUGACAUCGUUCUAUCGGUCAGAGUCUUUGGAAGAGGCAAGAAGCCGCAGGAAUCUCUCCAUUUAUUUCUCUCUAUGAGUCUUGACCAUUGGAGCUCAACAACGCAUGUAAAGUGAACCAAUACAUGUGUGUCAUUAUCGAAGAAUCCUUCAUCAUGUGUCCUUUCAUGUGCUUGCUUUAGCAAAACAUUCUUCCACCUGUGUCUGCUUCAGCGAAACGUUCCUUCACAUGUCUGACUCCACCCAACACAACUGACUUUCCAAAGAACUGUUAAGUUUCCACUUCCCAGGGUGGGGGUACAUGCAUGAUGUGUAUGGAGGUCAAAGGACAACUUGUGGGAGUUGGUUCCGUCUUUUCACAGUGUAAGCUAAGGAAGCGCCGGUCAUCGGUCAUUGGCUUGGCAGCAAACACACUGAGAUAGCUCUUUCUAGCCCAACCCUCAGCUUUUCUUUCCUCCUCCCCUUCCUUCCUCCUCCUCCUCCUCUCUUCUUUGUCUUCUCCUUUCUCCCAUCUCAGGCUUGG
rnacentral:lncRNA from 1 species